GGAGAAGUACCCAAGAGGCCGAAGGGGACGGUUUGCUAAACCGUUAGUAGGGGCAACUCUAGCGAGGGUUCGAAUCCCUCCUUCUCCGCCA
rnacentral:tRNA from 1 species